GCCAUAUAUGGAGUUCAUGG
rnacentral:snRNA from 1 species